ACUAUCUGUCCACCUGUGUCUAUGCCCGUCUCUGUCCACUUGUCCAUCCCUCACUCCGUCUAUCCGUCUGUUGAUCAAUAUGUCUGUCUGCCUGUUUAUCCAACCUGUUCUCCAGUCAUUUUUUCCAAUCAGCCUUUUUUUUGUGGCUUUUUCUCUGCCCACUUUUCACUAUUGAUCUACCUAUGGAACAUAAAUAUUCCUGUUUCACUCAGGGAUUGUGC